GAUCUAUUCGAGCUAGGGUUUUUGCCUCCUCUCGCUGCUGCGCCGCCACCGUAGUCUACUCCAUCCCGAUUGUCGGCGUGCACCGGCGAUUGGGAGAGCAGGUCUCCGGAACCGUCGUCUUCAGCGAUCCUGCACCGGGAGAGGGCGAAUAAGGUUUUUGGGAAGCGCUCUGCGCGACUGCUCGAUCGCUUCCUCCGCUUCGUCAAGUUCUUCGUCGACUCCUUCACCACGGCUCGUCUACCUCUUCGUCGCUCGGGCCUCACUCGUCGUCGCGAACAACGUCAGGCUGCUGAUCGUCGUCGCCUGCUGUAUCCGGUAGUCGUCCAGGAACCGGUUUUCAUCAAGAAAGAAACGUACGUUCUCUUAACUCACAUUAUGUCUUCCAUACUAGCUAUUAUGAUCUGUUGCAGUCUGAUAGCACUGGAUAGUAUGGUAGAAUGUCUGGUUCUAUUUGCAAUGAUAGACUUGUCUAGAUCUUGCGUAGACAUGUCUAGUUUAAUCUGCUGCUUGUUCAUCAUAUUCAUGAUUUAUUUCUGGAUUAAGUUAAAACUAAAAGUGCUUAUAUAUCCAACAAUCCAAAAACCUUAUUGUAGGCACUUUAGUUUUAUGGCUGGAUUUCUUGAUGCACUGAGGCCAGCACCGUUUGCUGGCGUGCACUUCAAGAGGUGGCAGGUGAAAGCCACGCUAUGGCUUACUGCCAUGAAGGUGUUCUGGGUGUCCAAUGGCAAACCGGAAGGGGUUCUCGCUCCUGAAAAGGAGAAAGAAUAUUCGGAAGCCAACACAAUCUUCUUGGGCGCUGUGAUUGGUGCACUUGCAGAACAUCUGCAAGAUGUGUACCUUCAUCACACGGUCGCAAAGGAGUAGUGGGAUGAUCUAACUGCCAACUACGGUGGCUCAGAUACUGGCACUGAACUGUACAUCAUUGAGCAGUAUCAUGACUACAAGAUGGUUGACGGAAAAUCUGUAGUCGCUCAGGCUCAUGAAUUACAGUGCAUGGUGAAGGAACUCGAUCUGCUAAAGAUUGUCGUGUCUGACAAGUUUGUGGCUGGGGGCAUUAUUGCCAAGUUACCUCCAUCCUGGAGGGAUUUCGCCACUUCUCUCAAACACAAGAGGACAGAAAUUUCUGUUUCAGACUUGAUUGCGUCUCUUGAUGUUGAGGAGAAAGCUCGGGCUAAAGAUGGGCGAUCUAAAGCUGUUGAGGGUCAGACCAGUGCCAAUAUGGUGCACCAAUCACAUCACAAUGGCAAUGGUGGUAAGGGCAAGGGCAAGAACAAUAAGCCUAAGCAGUCCACUACCUUCAAGAAGAAGAAGAACAAGGAGAUUGAGGGAUGCUUCGUGUGCGGUUCUACUGACCAUUGGGCAAAAAAGUGCCCAAACCGCAAAGGAAGAAAACCUCCACAGCAGAAGUCUGUAAGCAUGGUGACCAGCGCUGAAGAUGGAAAUAGUGGGUAUGGUAAUUUACCUUCUGUUUUUUCAGUGUUUCAUUCUACCAAUACUUGGUGGCUUGAUACUUGUGGCGUCCCGCCCCCCAGGGGCCAGGCCCGCUUACACCUGGCAGCUCUCUAGAAUAUCAAGAAUUCCCUCACAGACCAACACACGUCUUUUCUGUGCACUUUGUCCUCACUCGUGCGCACCCGGGAAGAACUUCCCGGUCGGUCACCCAUCCCGAAAUUGCUCCGGACCAAGCACGCUUAACCCCGGAGUUCUUUAAGGAUGAGCUUCCGGAAAAGAAGUUGCAACUUGUUGGUAUGAAUAUUCUAUCAAUCCUAUUAAGCCUUGGGCCGGGAUGUCACAUACUCACCCCCUUAGAAGACCGACGCCCUCGUCGGUCAACCCCAAGCCAGGAACGUCCCCUCUUGGCCACGUCCGUGUGUCCAGUGCCAGCGCAUGUGCCAUGCUAUGUGACCACUCUGGGCCCACACCAGCCAUGCACACCAUGCCUGCGCAACUGCGACCGCACGCGCCCGUGAAACCGCGAGAGUCGACUCUGAUACCAACUGUGGCGUCCCGCCCCCCAGGGGCCAGGCCCGCUUACACCUGGCAGCUCUCUAGAAUAUCAAGAAUUCCCUCACAGACCAACACACGUCUUUUCUGUGCACUUUGUCCUCACUCGUGCGCACCCGGGAAGAACUUCCCGGUCGGUCACCCAUCCCGAAAUUGCUCCGGACCAAGCACGCUUAACCCCGGAGUUCUUUAAGGAUGAGCUUCCGGAAAAGAAGUUGCAACUUGUUGGUAUGAAUAUUCUAUCAAUCCUAUUAAGCCUUGGGCCGGGAUGUCACAAUACUGGUGCUAAUGUUCAUGUGUGUGCUGAUGCCUCCUUGUUUUCAUCUUACCAGGUCGCUCGGGAUUCCUCCGUCCUAAUGGGGAAUGGGUCACAUGAUUCUGUUCAUGGUGUUGGUAUGGUAGAUCUGAAGUUUACUUCGGGAAAGAUCGUGCAACUGAAGAACGUGCAGCAUGUCCCUUCUAUCAGGAAGAAUCUAGUUAGUGGCUCCCUUUUGUGUAGGGAUGGCUUUAAGGUAGUGCUUGAGUCUAAUAAAAUUGUCGUGUCUAAGAGUGGACAAUUUAUUGGUAAAGGCUAUGAGUGCGGAGGCUUGUUCCGCUUUUCCCUUACAGAUUAUUGCAAUAAGUCAGUGAACUAUAUUUGUGAUGGUAUUAAUGAGAGUGAUGCUAGUGUUUGGCAUUCACGUUUAUGUCAUCUGAAUUUUGGUUCUAUGUCUCGACUUUCCAGCCUGUGUUUAAUUCUGAAUUUUUCCAUUGUCAAAGGUUCUAAGUGCCAUAGUUGUGUGCAAUCUAAACAACCUCGAAAACCUCACAAGGUAGCCGAGGAGAGACACUUGGCACCACUUGAACUCAUUCAUUCUGAUAUAUGCGAGAUGAAUGGUGUGUUGACCAAAGGUGGAAAAAGAUAUUUCAUGACUUUGAUAGAUGAUGCGUCUAGAUAUUGCUAUGUAUAUUUAUUGAAAACGAAAGAUGAGGCUCUUAACUACUUUAAAAUCUAUAAGGCUGAAGUUGAGAAUCAGCUUGAGAAAAAGAUCAAGAGAAUUAGGUCUGAUCGUGGUGGCGAGUAUUUCUCUAAUGAUUUCGACUUGUUCUGUGAAGAACAUGGUAUUGUACAUGAGAGGACGCCUCCCUAUUCGCCCCAAUCAAACGGGGUUGCCGAAAGAAAGAAUCGCACUUUGACUGACUUGGUGAACGCCAUGUUAGACACCAGUGGAUUAUCUAAGGCAUGGUGGGGGGAGGCUGUAUUGACUUCAUGUCAUGUCCUGAAUAAAGUACCCAUGAAGAAUAAGGAGAAAACUCCCUAUGAAGAAUGGAUUGGAAGAAAACCAUCACUUUCAUACUUACGCACUUGGGGUUGCUUGGCCAAAGUUAGUGUGCCAAUCAACAAGAAACGUAAGUUGGGACCUAAAACUGUGGAUUGUGUCUUUUUGGGAUAUGCUCAUCAUAGCAUAGCCUAUAGAUUUUUAGUGGUUAAAUCAGAGGUGCCUGAUGUUCAUGUUAAUACCUUGAUGGAGUCUCGUGAUGUUACUUUCUUUGAGAAUAUAUUUCCUAUGAAACAAUUGCAUAGUAUGUCUAGACUAUCUUUUGAUAUGAUUGCUGAGACAACUCCUGAACCUAUUGUGCUUCCUGAUCAUGCUGAACAAACACUUGAGCCAGUUCAUGAGGAGGUUAACAGUGAAGCUCCUAAGAGGAGCAAGAGACAAAGAACUGCAAAGUCCUUUGGUGAUGAUUUCACUGUCUAUCUCGUAGAUGAUACUCCUAAGACCAUUUCAGAGGCAUUUGCAUCUCCAGAUGCAGAUGAUUGGAAAGAAGCUAUCCAUAGUGAGAUGGACUCUAUUCUUUCUAAUGGAACUUGGGAGGUUGUUGAUCGACCGUAUGGUUGUAAACCUGUGGGUUGCAAGUGGGUGUUCAAGAAGAAGCUUAGGCCUGAUGGUACUAUUGAUAAGUACAAGGCUCGACUUGUGGCUAAGGGUUAUACCCAGAAAGAAGGCGAAGAUUUCUUCGACACUUACUCACCUGUUGCGAGAUUGACCAGCAUUCGAGUAUUACUUUCCCUUGCUGCCUCACAUGGUCUUCUCGUCCAUCAGAUGGAUGUUAAGACAGCUUUCCUUAAUGGAGAGUUGGAUGAGGAAAUUUAUAUGAAUCAGCCUGAUGGAUUUGUAAUAAAGGGUCAAGAGAACAAGGUGUGUAAGUUGCUGAAAUCUUUGUAUGGCCUGAAACAAGCACCUAAGCAGUGGCAUGAGAAAUUUGAUACUACACUCAUAUCAGCAGGCUUUUCUGUCAAUGAGGCUGAUAGAUGUGUGUACUACCGCCAUGGUGGGGGUGAGGGAGUUAUAUUGUGCUUGUAUGUCGAUGACAUACUGAUCUUUGGUACAAAUCUUGACGUGAUCAAAGAGGUCAAGUUAUUUCUGUGCCAAAAUUUCGACAUGAAAGAUCUGGGAGAGGCUGAUGUAAUUCUGAAUAUCAAGUUGAUCAAAGGAGAGAAUGGGAUUACUCUCACGCAAUCUCAUUAUGUGAAAAAGGUCUUGAGCCGGUUUGGCUUUAAGGAUAGUAAGCCUUCUCCCACACCUUAUGAUCCGAGCUUGAUACUUCGGAAAAACAAGAGAAUUGGUAGAGACCAAUUAAGAUACUCUCAAAUUAUUGGAUCACUUAUGUAUUUAGCCAGUGCUACUAGGCCUGACAUCUCAUAUGCUGUUUGCAAACUGAGCCGGUUUACCUCUAAUCCGGGAGAUGAUCAUUGGCGUGCGCUUGAGCGAGUCAUGCGCUAUUUAGUUGGUACUAUGGAUUACGGAAUUCACUACUCCGGGUAUCCUGCGGUGCUGGAAGGCUAUAGUGAUUCAAAUUGGAUAUCUGAUGCUGAUGAACUGUAUGCCACAAGUGGAUACGUCUUCACUCUGGGUGGUGGUGCUGUUUCAUGGAGGUCAUCCAAACAGACUAUCUUAACGAGUUCUACCAUGGAAGCAGAACUUGCAGCAUUAGAUACAGCCACAGUUGAGGCUGAUUGGCUACGUGAACUCUUGAUGGACUUGCCUAUUGUCGAGAAACCUAUGCCGGCAAUACUUAUGAAUUGUGACAAUCAAACGGUGAUUGUCAAAGUGAACAAUUCUAAGGACAAUAUGAAGUUAUCAAGACACGUUAAGAGACGUCUGAAAUCUGUCAGGAAAAUGAGAAACUCCGGAGUAAUAUCAGUGGAUUACAUCUCAACUGAUAAGAACUUGGCAGAUCAGUUCACUAAGGGGCUGUCACGUAAUGUGAUAGACAAUGCAUCAAAGGAGAUGGGUAUGAGACCCAUAUGAGCUACACCAUGGUGGUAACCCAACCUAUGUGAUCGGAGAUCCCGUGAAGUAGGAUCUGGGAAGAACAAGCCAUGGGAUAGCAUGAGAGUAUCCUACUAACCCACUCGAGAAAUGAUGCAACACUCUCAAACCACUGCAUGGCAGGCUGGCUACUGCCUUAAUAUAUUUUGUUGGCUUUAAUUAGCAAAGAUGUUGCCCUGCAGAACAUCUUGGAAAAAUAUACCUAUAUGAGCCCGACUGUUGUAAGGUCGCAGUCUGUGAGACUUGGGUGAUCUCUAUUAAGCUCAUGAAGAGACCAGGGGGGUACGACCUAUAUGCCCCACCCGCGGGGUAGGCUACAGGCAGCCAGGUACUAGUCCCGACUUUGAGUGAAACUUGUCCGCACAAAACUUGCAAUUCAAGGCUUUGUCCAUUGUUCAAGUUGUGGAUGAAUGUAGCUUGAAGCUCUAGGUGAGAGUUCAACUUAACAGUCCUCGCCGAAACACUAGUAUAUAAACAGCAGUGAGAAACAGGCAAAAUCUCUGAUGGGCAUUUGAGAUCUGGUGGGGGAUUGUUGAAAUAAUGGGCCUAGCCCAUAAGCAAUUUCAGAAUUUCAAAUAAAUCUCAAAGGCCCAUGUGGGCAAGAGGUGGAGUGCAAGUCUUUAGUCCCACAUUGCUAGUGGAGGGGAGGGAUGACCAACUUAAAUAUGGAAGUUGUCUCCACUCCUCCAAGCUAUGUGUGUGGGGAGGGAAGGAGAGCUCCACACGCGCGCGCUCGCACGCCACGCCUCGCCUCGCCUCGCCUCGCCUCGCCUCGCCAGGCGGGGCGGGGCGGGGCGGGGCGAAGGGCGCGGGCGCGCGGCACCUGCGUGAAUGGUCCGCCGAAAUUCGGCCCCUCGCCUUGCGGGGGCGCGGCUUCCUUUUGCCGUUUUAUUUUUUGGUUACUUGGUCGUUAAGUCAGCGAGAUAUAUGGAAUCCUAACCGGUUUAGAUCACGAUCGCGACGUGAGAAUCGUGGGCUCUCCUAUAUAUGCGACCUACCGGCCUCUACCAGAAACAGAUCUAUUCGAGCUAGGGUUUUUGCCUCCUCUCGCUGCUGCGCCGCCACCGUAGUCUACUCCAUCCCGAUUGUCGGCGUGCACCGGCGAUUGGGAGAGCAGGUCUCCGGAACCGUCGUCUUCAGCGAUCCUGCACCGGGAGAGGGCGAAUAAGGUUUUUGGGAAGCGCUCUGCGCGACUGCUCGAUCGCUUCCUCCGCUUCGUCAAGUUCUUCGUCGACUCCUUCACCACGGCUCGUCUACCUCUUCGUCGCUCGGGCCUCACUCGUCGUCGCGAACAACAUCAGGCUGCUGAUCGUCGUCGCCUGCUGUAUCCGGUAGUCGUCCAGGAACCAGUUUUCAUCAAGAAAG
rnacentral:lncRNA from 1 species